AUGGUUGUUGUUGAGGCUUCAAAGAAAAGGAGGAAGGUUAAAUUGACUAGAUGUGGAUGUGAAGCUUAUAUAUAUGUCACUCGGGAAAGUAAUGGAAAAUACAAGGUAGCUUCACUCACUGAAUAUCACAAUCACCUUUUUGUGCCACCUAGCCAGCAACACUUGAUUAGAUCCAAUCAUCAAGUUAGUGAACGAGUGAAGACAACACUUCACAAUUGCCAAAAAGCUAGCAUUGGCACUGCCUUAGCUUAUAGGCUGCUUAAUGUUGGCGCUCGUGGUUUUCAGCAUGUUGGCUGCACCCAGAAAGACCUACAAAAUCACUACGAUGGACUAAAAAAUAAAAUAAGAAAUUGUGAUGCUCAAAUAUUGGUGGACCAAUUUGGUAGACUGAAGGCUCUGAUCCCUGCUUUUUUCUUUGAAUAUGAAGUUGAUGAGAUCCGUACAUUGAUUCGUUUAUUCUGGACGGAUGCAUCAAGUAGGAAAAACUAUGGGCAUUUCAGUGAUGUCGUAUCUUUUGAUUCCACAUGCAACACUAACCAAUAUGAAUACACGUUUGCGCCCUUCACUGGAGUAAACCAUCAUAUGCAAAGUGUCUUGUUUGGGGCGGGGUUUCUACUUCAUGAGACAGAAGAAUCCUAUACUUGGUUGUUCAGGUCAUUUCUUAGAACAAUGGGUGGGGUUGCGCCUAGAGUGAUCAUAACUGAUGAAUGUGUUAAGAUGAAAAAUGCAAUUGGAAAAACUCUACCAAAUACGACACAUCGAUUGUGCAUGUGGCACAUUAUGGAAAAGGUUCCAGGGAAGGUACGUCCGGAGUUGAGGAAUAACCUUGUGUUCUAUGAUAGGCUGAAAUAUUGUGUGUGGAAUUCUGAAACACCUGCAAAAUUUGAGGAUAGAUGGCAGUCUUUCAUCACAGAGUUUCAGUUGGAGGAGCACGAAUGGUUCGCCAAAAGGUAUAGGCUUCGUGCGACAUGGAUACCAGCUUAUUUCAUGGGCAUUCACCUAGCUGGUCUACUCAGGACAACUUCUACUUGA
rnacentral:rRNA from 1 species